rnacentral:sRNA from 1 species
UCGAGAAUGCACAACAAUGUCGCGAUCUA